GAUAUAAAUUAGUGCAAUUUUAAUGGAUUAAGCAAUAUUCUGUCCAGUGCUAGCUGUGGAAACUCAAAAAAAAAUUGAGAAACCUCACUACUACUUCGCACGUUGGUCGGCGCUCGCACGAACGCAAACGAAAUUGUCCCGUCGAACCGACCGUACCAAUUCCUCACUCACACUGACAUCUCUCUCCACAGCCGGCACUCCCUCUCCCCCCACUCAUCACCACCGACGCACCACCACCACCACUUCAAUGGAGGACAGCGACGGAGCCACCCCCACUUCUCCGGCGACGACGCAGCCGCCGUCUUCGAUGCCGGUGCGAGAAGAUUGCUGGUCCAACGACGCCACUUACACGCUCGUCGAGGCAUGGGGCGACCGAUACCUCGACCUCAACCGCGGCAACCUCCGCCAGAAACACUGGCAAGACGUCGCCGACGCCGUCAACGCAGUCCACGGCCACGUCAAGAAGGCCCGCCGCACCGACGUUCAGUGCAAGAACCGCAUCGACACCUUGAAGAAGAGGUACAAGAUCGAGAAAGCUAGGGUUUCUGAUUCCAACAGCGGCGGCUAUACUAGCCAGUGGCCCUUCUUUUCCCGCCUAGACUCUCUCAUCGGUUCCUCCUACAAGCCCUCCCCUGCGGCGGCGACUCAUCGGAAAACACCACCGGCGCUCCCUCCGUCGCCGUCGUUGGUUCCCGUCGGUCCCCGGUCGAAGCGUCCGGCGGCGAUUAUGCCGCCGGCGGUUGUCGACGAUUCCUUUUUCAGGCGGAACUUUUCGGCGAUUGCUGCCGCUGCCGCUGCGGCCGCGGAGGCGGAGUCAGAGAAGUCGAGGUCUAGGUCGAGCGGCGGCGGGACACGGCGGCGGGAUGGAGGUAGGAACGGGACGGAGGGGUACCGGCAGCUGGCGGAGGCGAUAGAGAGGCUGGGAGAGAUUUAUGAGAGAGUGGAGGAGUCUAAGCAGAGGCAGAUGAUAAAGCUGGAGAAACAGAGGAUGCAGUUUGCAAAGGAUUUGGAGAUCCAGAGAAUGAAGCUUUUCAUGGAUUCGCAGAUACAGAUCGAAAAGAUGAAGCGCGCAAGGCGAACUUCAGAAGCUGAUUUUGAAGAAGUGCCUUCUGUUGACAGUGAACUUAACAUCAUCCUUUUUGCACUUGGACUGGUUUAGGGUUUUGAUGUGGAAUUGUACGUUAAGGAUUUGUACAUGUGCCUUAAGGUGCAUGACCAUAAUGCUUCCUAUAAUGCCUCACUAGCAUUUAGAUCUCACAAUGUGCUAUGCCCAUUCCUUAACUUCACGGUUUAGUUCCAUAGACAGUUAUUUAUAGACGACAAUCAUGUUGGAGAACACAUUUCAAGUGAUGCUGAUCUUCUCGGAAGGUAUAGGUAGAUUUCUGUUGUCUUUGCGAACACAUAGAUCUAUACUAAUUCUGCAAAAGAGGAUAUGGCAAGAGUAGUAGGCUGUGCAGUUGUGGUUGAUAUAUAUAUAUAUAUAUAUUCUUUAAUAGUAUUUUGUUGUGGUUUUUUUUUUUUUUUUCUACUGUUGCUUAUUUCUUUUAGCUUUUGUGGAACCUCAGAAUUAAGAACAGAAAAGAGUUGUUAUUAUUUGUUAAAA